CACCAGGGCAGUUGUGGGAGAGGCUUGGUCCCUGAGAAGACUCUGCUGGGAGACCAAGCGAGCAUAACCGGAAGCAAAGGCUGCCAUCAAGCUCCACCCACUUUCCACGGGGCUCCGUGGCUCCUUUACCCGCUGAGCAUCUUCACUGGGCUCUGUUCUUCUACUGGCCCCUUUACCCCCUUUUUUUUAAAUGGAGGAAGGCGUGCCAGCAGCCAGGAGAAUACCUAUGAGAUAUGCAGGCUGAGUAAUGUCGCAGAACACAUAUAUGUUCUAAUCCCAGGACUCUGUGGAUGUCGGUUUAGGAAUACUGCAGACUGAUUAAUUAAGCUUUUGAGGGGAGGGCAUAUAACGAGUCCUUAAAGCGAUCACGUUGUUCUAUAUAGCCAGAAAGCCCAGGAGGAAGCUGAGUGGUCAGCGAGGUGAUCUGAUUGGACCAUGAGACAGCUGUGGAACUGAAGAGGCAAGGGUUGACUCCUUCUUCUUGGAGAGAGUGCAUCAGCCAAGGCAUGCUGGUUUAGGACUUCUGGACUCUCUAAACAUGACACCUGACACUAGCCUGUGGUGUAACCAAAAAAGAAAUUAAAAACAAAAAAAUAG
rnacentral:lncRNA from 1 species